GAGGAGGAUGGAAAGGAUGGGGACGGGUCGGAAGGGGGCGAGGUUUGGAAAGGCGGGGAAGAAGACGAGGAUGGGGAAGACGAGGAGGUCGAGGAUAUGGAGGAAACAAUUGGUCAUCCCGACGACAUCGUCAGCCAGUUGAUGGUAAUUGGGGAACGUGGUCUAACUAUGACGAAUGUUCUUUGACAUGCGAUGCUGGCACACAAAAGCGAUAUAGAUCUUGCAAUAACCCCACCCCGGAGUAUCAGGGACGCACAUGCAUUGGUAAAAACCAAGAAAAACGGCAGUGUAAUCAGUGUCCUUGUCCAGACCCCUGUGAAUCUGUUGAAUGUCUAAAUGGAGGUGAAUGUUUAAGAGGCAUAUGUGAAUGCACCUAUUGAUAUUCUGGAUCAGAUUGUGGCGUUGAUUCUUGUAACAACAGAUGUUUGAACAAUGUAACAUGUAACAAUGGUAUAUGUGAUUGCCCUCCAAUGUUCAGUGGAGAAGAUUGUGGAAAUAAGCUAGAACCAGUCGAUUUGUGUGAGAAUAUCACCUGCUCAAAUAACAGCCAGUGUGUAUCAGGUAUUUGUAAAUGUACCCCUGGUUACGAUGGAGAUAAUUGUACUGUAAAUCUAUGUGAAAUAACAGACUGUCCGCGUGCAACUACACCGUGUGUACCAAUCCUUGCACCUGGUGGAUACACCUGUAGUUGUAUUAAAAGAGAAUUUGAGUUUGGAACUGGUUUUCGUUUGUGCGAUGCAUUAUCAAUCAUUACACCUGAUAAGUUUCGUGGCGGAAAUUUUAAUAUUACAACCAAUAUACCUGGAAUUCCUGGUAAAAACCUCACUAUUUCAUUCAUUGAUGAAUAUCGUAUUAGAUCAGCGGACUACCUAGAGAUUGGAGGCACACGUUAUUCUGGCAAAACGCCUCCAGCAGACAUCACAUUUUCAACUGGUGCUAGUACGCAGCUACGCUUAGUUACCGGCAAUUCGAGGAGUUCUGGAGUUUAUACAUUGACCUAACAAUAUAUAGACGCUGUACCAGAUCCUAAUCCUUGUAAAAAUGGAGGAACGUCCACUGAACAAGACACAUGUAAUUGUAUGCCAGGUUUUCAGGGAACUAAUUGUGAAUGUGAGUAAAACAAUGUUUAUUUCCAAUGAGUUUGAUAUGUCAAUAAUAUAUUGUAAUCAGCUUUAAAAGUUUCACAAGUUGGGUUAUCUGUAAAUAUGCUGAGAUUCUUCCGCGAUCCUUAAUGAACAAAAUUCACAAAUAUUUUACAAGGGGUUAAUUCCUCUAUCACCGAAAUUAAAUAGUGUUUGUCUAAUGGAAGGACCUUUUCAAAUGUUCAUUUUCAACACAGAAUGGGUGAAUGUCGAAAACAUUAAUUCAGUUGGAUUGAUCCUGAAUCCCAUAUCACCGAGUUUAAAAGAAGAUUUUACAAAGAGUAAGUUCCUUAUCACCGAGGUCAGACUUUGCCAGUUUAAAGGAAUGACCUUUAACAACAUUUGUUCAUGAAGCUAUGUACUUACAUAAUGUAUUGAUGUCAUUGGUUAAUAUAAUAAUUUAUUACUGUUACAGUUCCACCAAUAUUAACAUCAGGCGGCAAUUACCAAAAAGACAGGAACAUAUUGUUCACUCUGCCUGGUUUUCCAGCGAAAGAUCUUGUCCUUACGUUUGUCGAUGAUUUUAGUAUUGAAACUACGAAUGGAUAGUUUAUUGGCCAAUCACGCUAUUUUACCGACAUUUCGCCUAAUAGUUUGGAUGCAGCUAUGGCGGGUGUGGCGCCAGGCAGGGUAAGCUUACUCUUCCGUACACCUGUUACCACUGUUUGUCGUGUAUUUUGUAUACGAGGAGCAGUCCAUUUGCUGAUUACACUAUUUUGCUUGAAUACACUAUUUUGCCUAUAACGUUUUUUAGGACUUCGAAUUCUGUCUUAUGGUUUGGAUUGUUCGUACUUGGUUUUAUUUUAUUCUAAGAAACGAUUGUAUGGAAGAUUAUGUGGAGAUAGAAGGAACAACGUAGGAGAGAUAUUGUGGAGGCGUGGCACCGGAACCUAUUACCAUACCUACAGGUAACGGAACAGUAGUACGUUUUGUGAGUAACGCUGACAGCGAUCAGUGCCCGACAGGUUUUAGACUUACCUUUGUCUAUAGAGAUCCGUAGUCAUUUUAGAACAAACCCAGGAAUUAUUGGUAUUAUUUGAUGGAAGGAUAUGUCAGCAGAAAAGUUGUGUUCACCAAAAAGAAAUAAUUCCUAGUUUUACAGAAACCUUACAAUUGGUAUAUGAUAUUAAUACAACAAACCAAUAAAUAUUGUAUAUACCACUUUGUC